rnacentral:rRNA from 1 species
UACGAAGGGUGCAAGCGUUAAUCGGAAUUACUGGGCGUAAAGGGUGCGUAGGCGGUUGUUUAAGUCUGUCGUGAAAUCCCCGGGCUCAACCUGGGAAUGGCGAUGGAUACUGGGCAGCUAGAGUGUGUCAGAGGAUGGUGGAAUUCCCGGUGUAGCGGUGAAAUGCGCAGAUAUCAGGAAGAACACCCGUGGCGAAGGCGGCUCUCUGGGACGGUACUGACGCUGAGGCGCGACAGCGUGGGGAGCAAACAGG